AAAUUGAAGAGUUUGAUCAUGGCUCAGAUUGAACGCUGGCGGCAGGCCUAACACAUGCAAGUCGAACGGUAACAGGAAGCAGCUUGCUGCUUCGCUGACGAGUGGCGGACGGGUGAGUAAUGUCUGGGAAACUGCCUGAUGGAGGGGGAUAACUACUGGAAACGGUAGCUAAUACCGCAUAACGUCGCAAGACCAAAGAGGGGGACCUUCGGGCCUCUUGCCAUCGGAUGUGCCCAGAUGGGAUUAGCUAGUAGGUGGGGUAACGGCUC
rnacentral:rRNA from 1 species